CCCUCACUCCCGCCUUCACCUCAAAUCAAGACGGAUACCUGUCUCAGGCCUCCUUCGGUACCUGCUUUGUGUAAACAUAAUCACCACAGCAUCCCUGAAGUGUUCAAGAUGAAGAUGCUACGGAUUUUGGUCGUCCUUUCGAUAGUGAUGGCUGCGAGCGAAGCCGUUCCGUUCUUCUGGCCCGGUCGAUCCCGUGGCAGAGGCGGCAGAUUUCGGGGACGGACUUCGCGGAUCGGCAACCGAGUUAUUCCGGAUCCGUACGCCUUCGUCGCUCAUCCCGAAAUCAAUCCGGUCUUCCCUGCCGAGCCUUUCAUCCUGUGAUUUGAGAAUGCGAGAAGAGAAGUCAAUUCUCGCUUGCGGAAUCAUGGUAUCUGGAAAACAGAGCGAAUGUACCAGAGAUUUCGACCAGUCACCACAGUUCCCUGGAGGAUUGGUGCUGAUGCAAAGACGUGGUAGCACCGGAACGAGCGAGUUUUGUCAGUAGUGGCACGUGGUUCGUGAUUGUACCACAGACAAAGGCUGGUUUCCGUUCUGUGGCCGUGGUUGCGUGUGGAAGAAGUGACGCGUAAAAUCAAGAAAAACAAUCUGUUGAUUGUCCUUCGGUGGCAGCCCUGUGGUCUCGAGUCGAGACAAGAGUGUUAGCGAGAGAGAGAGAGAGUUUUUUCUGCCUUGCUCGAGAUUACAUGGUCUUAAGAGAUUAAUGCUUUUGCUGACCGUGAGUGACGGAUUUUCUCUGCCCGGAUCAACCGUCAGGUUUAUAAUUUCAUCCGCAAAAUUUAUUGCUUUAAUAUUUCGAUCUCUUUUAUUUCUAGUUGUAACUUGAACCCUCGCAAAUUACUUCGGAAGGUAGUCAAGUCCUUCGGUUACCAAAAAAAAAAAAAAAAUCUGAAAAAAGGUAUAUAAUGAUGAUGAGAAAAGCGGUUUGACCUUCUUACCAAUGGAAUAAAAUCACGUCGAAU